UCCCUGGUAGUAUAUCGGUUUAGUACACGCGCCUGUCAUCGAGAACAGACAGUGUGCCUUCGCGCGAAAGCUGGGUUCGACUCCCAGCCAGGGAG
rnacentral:tRNA from 1 species